rnacentral:rRNA from 15 species
UUAUGAGAGUUUGAUCCUGGCUCAGGAUUAAUGCUGGCGGCGUGCCUAAUACAUGCAAGUCGAAUGGGUUUAGACCCAUGGCGAACGGGUGAGUAACGCGUAGGAAGCUGCUCCGAAGUCUGGUAUAACUCGCCGAAAGGCGAGAUAACACCGGAUAUGCCGCAAGGUGAAAGUUUACGCUUCGGAAGGCGCCUGCGUCCUAUCAGCUUGUUGGUGAGGUAACGGCUCACCAAGGCUAUGACGGGUAACUGGUCUGAGAGGACGACCAGUCACAGUGGGACUGAGACACGGCCCACACUCCUACGGGAGGCAGCAGUAGGGAAUCGUCGGCAAUGGGCGAAAGCCUGACCGCGCGACGCCGCGUGGAGGAAGAAGGCCUUCGGGUUGUAAACUUCUUUUAUGGGGGACGAUUAUGACGGUACCCCACGAAUAAGGGCCUGCUAACUACGUGCCAGCAGCAGCGGUAAUACGUAGGGCCCGAGCAUUAUCCGGAAUUACUGGGCGUAAAGAGCGUGUAGGUGUUCGUACAAGUUGGUCGUUAAAUCUCACCGCCUAACGGUGAGGCCGCGAGCAAAACUGUACGAAUUGAGGUUUGCAGGGGCUAGCAGAAUUUCUGGAGUAGGGGUGAAAUCCGUUGAUACCAGAAGGAAUACCAAUGGCGAAGGCAGCUAGCUGGGCAAUACCUGACACUGAGACGCGAAAGCGUGGGGAGCAAACGGGAUUAGAUACCCCGGUAGUCCACGCCGUAAACUCUGUCAACUAGCAAUAGGGAGAGUCGACCCUCUCUGUUGCGAAGCUAACGCGUCAAGUUGACCGCCUGGGAAGUACGAUCGCAAGAUUAAAACUCAAAGGAAUUGGCGGGGGCUCGCACAAGUGGUGGAGCAUGUGGUUUAAUUCGACAAUAACCGAGGAACCUUAUCCAGGGCUUGACAUCUUGGGAAUCUCUCAGAAACGAGAGAGUGCCGCAAGGAGCCCAAAGACAGGUGCUGCACGGUCGUCGUCAGUUCGUGGCGUGAGCUGUGAGGUUAAGUCCUUGAACGAACGAAACCCUCGUCCUAUGUUGUAUGUUCAUAGGAGACAGCCCUGGUAACAGGGAGGAAGGCGGGGAUGACGUCAGAUCCGCGUGGCCUUUAUGCCCUGGGCAACACACGUGCUACAAUCCGUCCUACAAAGGGUCGCCAAACCGCAAGGUGGAGCUAAUCCCAGAAAAGGUCGGUAAGUUCGGAUUGAGGGCUGCAACUCGCCCUCAUGAAGCCGGAAUCACUAGUAAUCGUGGAUCAGCAUGCCACGGUGAAUACGUUCUCGAGCCUUGCACACACCGCCCGUCAAGUUGGCCGAGUCGGUAACACCAGAAGCGUCGGGAUUACCCGGCACCAAGGUGGGAUCGGUAAGGAAAGCUAAGUCGUAACAAGGUAUCCGUAGGGGAAUCUGCGGAUGGAUCACCUCCUUU